CAUAUUUCUCAGAUUAUGUCCUCAUAAAAAGUCAUUUUGCAGCCACUAUCAAUGAUACUGAUGUUUGCUCUCUUUUGCAGGGUACCCACUUUGGAUGGAAUGGUUCCACCUUCUAAAUCCAGCUUCUUUCUGUGUUGCCCUCCAACUUAACAUUGGAGAUUCAAUAAGCUAUGCGCCUUUGGCGUUCUGCUAUUGCAUAAACAUUGCCUUGUUGAGUUUUAUAGAUAUCCAUUUAGGCAUAUGCAUGUAUGUAUGUAUGUAGAAUGUGAAUGCUGCUGUGUCCUUCUAUGAGGAAACACUACGUUUGCUUGGCAUUUAAUCAAUUGUAUUGUAUUGUAUUGUGGUGCUCAUGGCACAUGAUUUGGGAGUGAAUAGCUAUUGUUCUUGAACCAUUGUCAGCUUAUGAGCAAUGUUCUUAGACGUGCUCUAGGCUUGCUUUAUGAGAUGGUAUCUCCCUUAUUUUAGCAAAUUAGCCAAAUCAGACCUUUCUUUUACUAGUGUUUAAACUUUAAAGGGUGUUUGUGGUGUUUUCUAUUCGAUUUUUUUUGUUUUUUCAUUUUUAAGGAUUUCAGGUGAACUUAUCAACGAAAUAAUAAAUUUAGGUUCACGAAAUGUUCUUUGUAUGCAAAAUCCGGAACCUUAAAUGUCCAAAUAUCACGGCUUUUUUCUUUCAAUAUCUGUCUUCAAAAAGGGAUUGGGACUUAAAAGAUGGAUUCAUAUGCCAUGUUAAAAUCAGCAAGAAGGAAUUCCUUGCAGAGCUUGUUAGGAUUUUAACGGUUUAAGUUGGGUUGAAACAGUAUCACAUAAUUAAAGUAAAGUGUUGAGACAAAGAUUUAAGUUGAAAAACAAAACUUCCAACAAAUUUAAGUAAAAGACAAUAAACAAGAAUCGAAGGAUUUUUAAUGGAUAAUACAACACUAACUCUCAUUUAUUGUUAAUUAAGAGAAGCAAAAGGUCUCUAGAGGGCUUCCUUGCUUAUUAAGCCAAAAAAAAACCCAGCUAAACACACUAAAACUUUGCUAGCUUCUCAGCAUCCAUUUUUUACAUGGCUACUCCACUUUCAGCGUUUGCAAUCGUGCAGGCAGCCAUCUUUGACACUUUCAUGUUCAGAUUUUCCAACCACAUACUUUGCAAAAGACAGAAGAAGGUUGUUUUCCAUGUUUCUCUUCUCCAAGUAAUUGACUUUCCAAGUACGAAACGUGAGUUUAUAGCUAACAUUCUCCCACUUAAACUCACUUUUCACAUCUUUUUUUCUUUUCAAUUAUUUCCAGCUACAUGCCGCUUACGCUAAAUUGUCGUGUGAAUCUUUUGCAUAUCGAUCCACACUAUUCUCUCCCACUACUUCUCGGUAAAAAUUAUAUUGCACUACUAUAUGUGAUUUGUCUUUGAAUGGAAGGAAAGAUUACUGGCAAUAUACAAGGCACUCUAAUUAUCAAAAUUCACAAAAAUCUCUUUUAUGUAUUUGUGCUCGAGUUCUUCAUAGCCUUUUAAUCCAAAAUCUUUUUUAUUUAUUUAUGUUCGAGCUCUUCCAUUGGCCUUUUAAUCCAAACUACUUUCUUGCAAACUUGUGUAGCUUUUAUAUAUUCAUUUUAUGUUGUAGAUAAAGCCAUAAUAGUUUGUAACUUUGACAUCUAGCUUAUGUUAAGAACAAAUAUGGUUUAACAAAAUAAACACACUUUAUACUAUAAUAUCUAAAUUAGAAUAUUGUUGAUGAAUGAAUAAUAAUUACAUUAAAAAAUUGGUUAUUGAAAGGUUAAAUCAAAUCACUCAUGAUUUUUUUAAUAUUUGAGAGAUCAUUAUAGGUUGCUAGAUAUUGCACUUGAUCUUCAAAUAUAAAUAUAUCAAUUAUUGAAUUAAUAAUAAACUAAUUUGUUUAAUUUUUUAAUUUUAUUUUAUUUAAGAUUAUGAUAUAUAUUUGGGUCAACUUAUUGGGGAAUCUAAUGAGUCAUACAUAUAAAACCCAUGGGUUAGAAAUUAAAAUGAGAUGAUUAAUCAAAUGUGACUUGAAUGUAAAUAAGUUUUAGAAAUUGAGGAUUAGAAUGUAAUUAAUAUAGAUAAUUACAAUUUUAGACCUAAAAACAAUUAAGUAAGGACUUGAUUGAAUAAAUUUAUAAAAUUAACCUAAAAUAAUAUAGAUGAUAUUAUUUAAGGAAAACAUUGAUAUUUUUCCAUUUAUAAGGUUUUUAGAUUUCUCUAUAAAUAGAAAGUUGUCUCUUAUUUUCUAAGAUGAGAACAAUACUAUAGAAAUACCUUAAACACAAAAUAAAAUAGUUAGCGCUUUAAUGUAUAGCAAUCUUUCUUUUCUAAAAGAGUUUAGAAGAUUUUUCAUUGAUGGUUCAUGUGGAUUGCUGUUAGAGGUCGAACACUUAGACGACUUGUGAUUUGCAACAACACAAUAUUUGAGUAAUUAUUCAAAGCCAAAAAAAUAUAUAUGAUCUUCAGUUAAUAUUAGUAUAAACCCUAAACAACCCUAGAUAUAUCUAACGAAAUCUUUGAGACUCUCGAAAAAAAAUUUAAAUUUACUAAUUUUGCUAUGUAUAUAUGUUUUGAAAAAUCCAACAAAUCAAGGCAUUUAUAUCCUCUGUACUUUAUUGCAAGGACUCAUACUUGUGGACAAUUUAUAAUUGACAUGAAGGGGGAAGUGGGGUAAAAAUUGGCUUCUAAGAUUUUUCUAAUGAAAUUCUUUAAAGAAAGUCAAAUCUUUUUAUCUUUUUUAUAUUAAUGAAUUUGCAUCUUUAAAACCUUGUUUUUCUAUCCCAAAAUUUUCAUAUCAAACUCUCUAAAUAAUUGAGCUUUCAAUUAUAUUGGUCUCCUCACCUGGAUUUGACUAGUUAACUCGAGUUGAUUCCGAUUAUUAUUUUUGUUCUUUUUUUAUUUGAUUUUAUUUUUAAUUUAAUCCUUAAAUAUUAGGUUAAUUGGUAAUUAAGUUUCAUAAAUUGAUUUUUAUUUGUUUUUUAUGAAGUUAUCACAAUGUUAUAACUCGGGUCACGAGUUAAACCGGUUGACUUGAUUUUUUUAGUUGAUUUUUAUUUUCAAUCUUAUCUUUUAAUAUUAAAUUUAUUAAGAAUUAAAUUUUAUAAUUUUUACCAUACUAACAUGAAUAAGCAGUGAAUGAAUACAGUUUAAUCAUUUCACUAUUUUAUAGUAGUAUUUUCUUCCUUGGCACCUUUUGUUUACAUGAUCAGUUGUGUAUUUUAAAAUUUUUAUUUUUUUUUAAAUUUUUUUAAUUUAAAAUUAUUUCAAUGUGUUUACAUUAAAAAAAUAUUUUAAAAUAUAUAAUAUUUUAAUAUAUUUCUAAAUAAAAAAAUAUUUUAAAAAAUAAUAUCUACGGUAACCAUACCUUAAUCCAGUGAAGGCAGCUGAGGUGUAUAUAUGUAGGCUAGUAGCAAACAGAACAUGUGUGUUAUCAACAGAGAAAAUGCCUUGCUUGAACAUUUCAACCAACGUUAAUCUCGAUGGCGUCAACACAUCCGCCAUCCUCUCUGAAGCCUCUUCUCAAGUGGCCAAAAUCAUCGGCAAACCCGAGUCCGUAAGAUUUUCUUUUUCCAUUUGCCUCGGAUUCUUGUAGAUACAUGCUUGUUUUUGGACUUGAUUGUUGAAAUAUGGAUAAAAUGUUAAAAUGUUGCAGGCUAGUAAAAUUAUUUGUGGGUUCCUCGGUGCAUAUAGAAAGAUUUUGAACUAUUUAAACAAUUAGCCUGCUACUAGUUUUAUAGUGGGUUUUUAGGGUUUGAUUAAUGUGUGAUCUAGCUGGUAUUAAAAUUGUUUUAGCUUGUUAGUACUAAUAAUUGUAAAUAGUUUUUGUAAUGAUGGAGGGGGAAUGGAGGUGAGUUUUUUGGUUACUGUGAAGUGUAUUUGCAUGCUCAUUUUCAAGGUGACAAGGAUAGAGUAAUAACUGUAAAUAGUUUCUAUCAACUACAUCGGAAAGAAUUUCUGGAUACUUGAGUUCUUGAUGUGGUACGGUUCUAGAAUCGUUUGAUAUGAUUGGGCUGUUGAUUUUGAACUGGAUAAGUUAAGGUUUUUACUAUCUAGUUGUGCUUUUGUUCACAAUGGACUGUACAAUGGGUUUUUUCUUUUUAAUUCCUGGGAGGUGUCUCUUUUAAAGAGUUCCCUCGGAAACUAUGAUGGUCAAAGUGUGAUUUGGCUGCAGUGUCUUGUGUAGCUUAUAAUACAGUUGAUUCUAGUAUCACUUAUUUGGCCAUGAAAGAAGAAAUGGAUUUUAUCUCUGUUUGCAUGUUCUUUGCUAGUUUAUCUCUAUAGUGGACGGGAAUUGUGUUUUGUACACCUACACCUGCAAACCUCCUUGUUUCAGUAUUUUGUGCUUUGAUGUCCGUUAUUUUUCAAUUUUUAGAACCUAGAAGUUGCAUAUUUGCAUUGAUUGAUACCACAGUUUGCUCAUAAUAUGCAUUGAUUGAUACCAUAAUUUUCUCACUGGAUGUGUCUGUUAACUAUUUUAUGUGUGUGAUCGUGCAGUAUGUGAUGAUUGUGUUGAAGGGCUCAGUACCAAUUGCAUUUGGAGGAACUGAGCAGCCAGCAGCUUAUGGUGAGUUGGUAUCUGUUGGCGGCCUUAGCGGUGAUGUGAACAAGAAACUGAGUUCUGCAAUUGCUACCAUUCUUGAGUCGAAGCUGUCAGUGCCCAAGUCACGGUUCUUCCUCAAAUUUUUUGAUUCCAAGGCAAGCCAUCUCAGCAUUUAAUUGUCAAGAAGAUAGAUCAUUUCCAUGCACACAUUUCUUCUCAUUGCAUUCUUCCUGUUUGUUUAGGCCCAUCAAAGCCAAGAAUAUGCACAGUGUUUGCAUGCUUUACACCAGCAGUAGAUCAUGUAAAUAAAUACUUACUGUUUUUAAACUGUGAGCAUUGUUAUUGAAUUCCUGGAGGAUUCAACUUAUUCUCAGAUUAUGUUCAUAUUGGCUGCCAUUUUAUGGUUUUUUCUGCCACUAAUAAUGGUUUGAUGCUUGCUGUAUUUUGCAGGGAUCCCACUUUGGAUGGAAUGGUUCCACCUUCUAAAUCCAGCUUUUCACCUGAGUUGCUCUCGGACUUGACACCAUGCGUUCAGACAGAUGUGUCUGUGGUGUUUUACUAUUGUCGAAACUUGAUUAC
rnacentral:lncRNA from 1 species